rnacentral:snRNA from 1 species
AUGCUCUGGGUUCAUUUCAUCAUAAGAACUAAUCUUUCGCCUUUUACUAAAGAUUGCCGUGAAGAGAAACAUUACAACGAGCCUCGAACACA